CAGGUGUGGGGAGAGACCGCGUCUGUGGCUGCAUCUUCAUGGCGCCUGGGAACUGGUGCUGGGCUCCCACAGGCCUCUCUGGAGGCUACGUCCAGAAAGAGGCCAGGGCCAACAUUCAAGAGGCCACGUGUGUGAAGCUGCGCUACUGCAGAGGGGAAGGUUCGGAGACACUGCUUACCUGCCAGGCCUCUGAGGCUCCUCCCUGCAGGCUGUGGUCGCCCAGGAACAGAAGAUACUGUUGACCCAGAGCACAGGAGCGGGGGUCUGUAACCUCCCCCAGGUCACACCAGGCCUCCAAGCCCAGCAGCACUGACGCUGGUGGAAAAAGUCAGGUGGACACAGGCCUGGCUGCUGCCUGCUCUACCACGUAUUGGGGUGACUUACCAAGAAAGAGUGAGGUUGUGGAGAACGAACAAUCAGGGCCCCCAGGACACACGCCUCUAGGGACUCCUGCCUUUGCUUACCCCCGUCCUGUGUGGACGCCAGGCUUGGUCCUGUGAUUCGGGGCAGCCAGUUCCACACCAACAGUGGCUCCAUAAGCACGUGCUCACGGGUUUGUCCUCGCAGAGAAGCUCAGCUGCACAGCUCAGUGUUAACGCCGUGUGGAGAGAAGCCCAGAGAACAAGAGGCCUCUGGGCCUCUCCACUGGGGUCAAGCUCCCAGCUGCAAGCAGCUUCACAGGAGGGGAGGUGGUCAGCCCCGGGGAGCAGAACCGCCCAGCUGAAGCCUGUCAACCACAGAAUCACGGGAAACAAUAAAGUGUUGCUGUAUGAGUCUGAGCUUUCAGAUGGCGUCUCACCCAAGCAACAGAUAACUCAAACAGAGGCACUGAAGCCUGGACCCCCCACCAGAGGAGAGGAACCUUACCCAUCCAUCUCAAGAAAAUGACUUACUCCUGGGGCCUCAGUCAACUGCCCAAGAAUGAAGUCAGCAGGCGUUAAUGAAGCCACAGUGAGGAUUCCCAACUACCCGGAUCAGUUUUGCCCCUCCUGGGAAGAGAUCCUGUUUCUGUCCACCAAUAGAAACCAAGAAAAUAGCUCUGGCCAUCUUGUGGAAGGAGGCAGGCUUUGCUGAACAAGCUGAAUGCAGCCACUCAACAAAGCCAAGCCCUCAGCUGGGAGCAGUUAAGUAGAUUUGUGAGAUUUUUAAUAAGUGCGGUGGACUGUGCAGAGGAAAUGUCACAAGGCAGUCAGUGAAUCAUUGCCCAGUGGGCAUAGAUAACUCUGCCUCUGAUUCCCAAUCUUACAGCUCUCAGAGCACUUUCAGGUUCCUUGUCUCGCUUAAUUAAAACAACAAUCCAGCCAGGUGGGCGGGGCAGGGUUUGUUGUCCUAUUUGCAUAGAAAGAGCUUAUGUAAUGCGAGGGCCCCCUUGAGUGGAAGUUUAACCGCAGGGAGCCCCUGAGCCCAGUGAAUGGAACUGGGUACAGAAGAGGGCCCCUAAGAUGUAAGAGCUGCAGGCUCCACAAAACCUGGAUCUGCCCCUACGGAUGGACCACAGAGGAUAGCAUCGGGUAGUAGGAAGCCUGUGGAAACACCAGUGACAAUGAGAGAGAGAAGGUCCUGCCACAAUAGGCUGCCCAGGACAUGCAUAAACUUAUACCCCAAACCACACAAAGCACCGUCUUCAAGGGGGGCUGGCUGAGACCCUGGGCUCUGACCUUGGCCCAGACUCAGAGAGUGUAACUCUCAUACUUGGAAGACUCUGAAUCUGAAGCACCCAGUCAAAGCC
ensembl:lncRNA